rnacentral:lncRNA from 1 species
AUUUUUCACAACAAGGCCUUGUUUUUAACCUUUAAGGAAAACCUAUUGAAUACUGUGAAUAAUGAUGAUUUAUUCAAUGACUUUGUGCUUGGAUAGUUGGGGAAAGGGUGAAAAUCUGGCUCUGCACCUUGGUUAUAGAUUAUAUCCAUAGUUUGAUUAGCUUUGUACAAAGAUGAGGGAGCAUCUAUAAUAAACUGUUCUAGCAUUGUCCUAGCAUCUGCAGUAUUCUUUCAUUUGAAAAUCUAUCUCUAGUCCUAUUCAAGGAAGACCACAGUCACACAAGUGAACAAACACAUGAGAAGGAGCUGCUGCAAAACUCUGCUCUAAAGGUGACUCGACAUGAAAUUUGGAAGGUCACGGUGUGGCUCUGGCAGCAGGAGUUCAUUACGAAUGCAUAUGCAUUAUGCAGACACACUGCAGUUGGUUACAAAUGGUUAGUGGAGGUGAACAGAGCAGACUCAGACAGAGCAAGAAGAAACCUAAGCCACAUGAGACAAGAAACUUGCAGCUGAGCAUACUGAUGAAGCCUUGGGCUGAUCAGGACACUUUUGCUCCAGUUCAAGAACAGGAAAGCACAGAUGCCAUGACAUGAUGCACCCCGUACAUCCAGUCAUCAUUUCUGCCCUCACCCCCAUCAUUGAACUGGAGAGCAAUCAUGGCAAAAGAGAUGAGCUCUCAACACAGAGGAACAAUUGUGUUCAGAACUCCAACCGUGUGCUAGAUUUGUAGUACCAGCUGGAAAGCACAUGUGAUUGAGACUGUCAAACUCUCUUUCUAUUUCAGCACAUAGCAAUGGGGCAUUCCCAUGGGUGGUUCUUCUGUCUCUUGUGAAGGAACUCCAAGCUCAGGAUGAGACAUUUUAGAAAGUGGGUUAAAAUUACACUGCUCUUGUGAGGAAAAGCCAAACCCUGGGUGGGGUAUUUUAGAAAGUGUAGUAAAAUUGCACUGCUUUGGGAACUGGAGGCACCUUUUAUUUCCUGACUGGAGAUGUCACACCCCUCUUGAGCUGCAAGCUUUAUCUGCCAAAAAGACACAUAUAAUGAGGAGGAAGGUGGAGAACAACUGGGGAAAGUGACAAAAAAAACCUCUUUUGAUGGAAAGACCUAACUCAAUACUUGAUGAAGGGCUAUCUAAAAGGUACAAAUGCCCACAAAAUACAAAUGGACCAUUGUGGAUCUCAUGGUCCAUGUGAUGUG